rnacentral:rRNA from 1 species
GACAGAGGGUGCAAACGUUGUUCGGAAUUACUGGGCGUAAAGCGCGUGUAGGCUGCUCAGAAAGUCGGAUGUGAAAGCCCUGGGCUUAACCUAGGAAGUGCAUUCGAAACUUCUGAGCUUGAGUUCUGGAGAGGAAGGCGGAAUUCUCGGUGUAGAGGUGAAAUUCGUAGAUAUCGAGAGGAACACCGGUGGCGAAGGCGGCCUUCUGGACAGUGACUGACGCUGAGGCACGAAAGCUAGGGGAGCAAACAGG